UACGGAGGGAGCUAGCGUUGUUCGGAAUUACUGGGCGUAAAGCGCACGUAGGCGGCUACUCAAGUCAGAGGUGAAAGCCCGGGGCUCAACCCCGGAACUGCCUUUGAAACUAGGUAGCUAGAAUUCUGGAGAGGUCAGUGGAAUUCCGAGUGUAGAGGUGAAAUUCGUAGAUAUUCGGAAGAACACCAGUGGCGAAGGCGACUGACUGGACAGAUAUUGACGCUGAGGUGCGAAAGCGUGGGGAGCAAACAGG
rnacentral:rRNA from 1 species